AUGGCUACCUUCCCCUAUCGGGUGAGAAUUGAACCUCGGAUCUCGUUGCCCCUCUUUUUACUUCUUGUGUCAGUUUCACUGAUUUUCUGCCGUUGCUUUCUGAGACGGGAUGCGGUUGGUUCCACGGACAAGAAUCGAGCAAGUUGGGAUCCUUUUGGCCAGGAGCACAUGAUAUAUACGUUCUACACUGAGGAUAAUCGUCUGUCGGUCAAGAAGGUGAGUGGAUGGAAGGUGGAGCGGUACAGGCAAUCCGCGGUGAUGGACAUGUAUGCAAAUAAUCGGACUAGGAUUAGUUGUCCGUGUGCAAGAUGCAAGGAAGGAUUCCUUUUGGACCCUUUUGAUUGUGGCACUUUGAAGGCGCACCUGCUGAUGAAUAAUUUCAUGGAUGGCUAUACUUAG
rnacentral:rRNA from 1 species